ensembl:rRNA 5S_rRNA 5S ribosomal RNA
UAUAGCAGCCAUAUCACCCUGUAGCCCAAGACUGGUUGCCCACUGAAGCUAAGCAGGGCUGAACCUGGUCAGUACCUGGAUGGGAGACCUCCUGAGAAAACUAGGUUGCUGCUGGAA